UGGAUUGAGGUUCAUGCUCUGAGAUUGCAUUUGAAAUCUACUGCCGCCAUUCUCAUCGUACCCUAAUGAAAGAGUCAGCAAUCAAGCAUCAGUGACAGAAACCAAAAUCAUAACAAGAUAAAGAAAACAACAUUAUAUACCACCUAUGGUCUGUACUGGACUGAUUGAAGGCUGCUCUGAAGGAAUCAAGGGUGGAAGACUUGGUAGAUUGACUUGAUAAUCAAAAGAAUUUGAAUCGUUUUGUGAUCCAGUAGCAAUAUCACUCUGAGGAGCACUUGAA